UCAGUCGACUCCUACGGGAGGCAGCAGUGGGGAAUAUUGCACAAUGGGGGAAGCCCUGAUGCAGCCAUGCCGCGUGUGUGAAGAAGGCCUUCGGGUUGUAAAGCACUUUCAGUAGGGAGGAAGGUAGUGUAGUUAACACCUGCACUAUUUGACGUUACCUACAGAAGAAGCACCGGCUAACUCCGUGCCAGCAGCCGCGGUAAUACGGAGGGUGCGAGCGUUAAUCGGAAUUACUGGGCGUAAAGCGCAUGCAGGCGGCCUGUUAAGUCAGAUGUGAAAGCCCCGGGGCUUAACCUCGGAAUUGCAUUUGAAACUGGCAGGCUAGAGUCUUGUAGAGGGGGUAGAAUUUCAGGUGUAGCGGUGAAAUGCGUAGAGAUCUGAAGGAAUACCAGUGGCGAAGGCGGCCCCCUGGACAAAGACUGACGCUCAGAUGCGAAAGCGUGGGGAGCAAACAGGAUUAGAUACCCUGGUAG
rnacentral:rRNA from 1 species